GACGAACGCUGGCGGCGUGCUUAACACAUGCAAGUCGAACGGUGAAGGGACUGGUUUUGCUGGUCCUGGAUGAGUGGCGAACGGGUGAGUAACACGUGAGUAACCUGCCCCCUUCUUCUGGAUAACCGCAUGAAAGUGUGGCUAAUACGGGAUAUUCUGGGUCUGUCGCAUGGUGGGCCUGGGAAAGAUUGCGCCUUUUUUGGUGUUUUUGGUGGGGGAUGGGCUCGCGGCCUAUCAGCUUGUUGGUGGGGUGAUGGCCUACCAAGGCGGUGGCGGGUAGCCGGCCUGAGAGGGUGGACGGUCACACUGGGACUGAGACACGGCCCAGACUCCUACGGGAGGCAGCAGUGGGGAAUAUUGCACAAUGGGCGCAAGCCUGAUGCAGCGACGCCGCGUGAGGGAUGGAGGCCUUCGGGUUGUGAACCUCUUUCGCCAGUGAAGCAGGCCUGCCUCUUUUUGUGGGUGGGUUGACGGUAGCUGGAUAAGAAGCGCCGGCUAACUACGUG
rnacentral:rRNA from 1 species